UACGGAGGGCGCAAGCGUUAUCCGGAAUCACUGGGCGUAAAGGGCGCGUAGGUGGUCUGUUAAGUCUGGCGUUAAAGCCUGGGGCUCAACCCCAGAUCAGCGUUGGAUACUGGCAGGCUAGACGGUUGGAGAGGCGAGUGGAAUUACCAGUGUAGCGGUGGAAUGCGUAGAUACUGGUAGGAACACCCAUUGCGAAGGCAGCUCGCUGGACAACACGUGACACUGAGGCGCGAAAGUGUGGGGAGCAAACCGGAUUAGAUACCCCUGUA
rnacentral:rRNA from 1 species